ensembl:snRNA U6 U6 spliceosomal RNA
GUGCUCACCUCAGCAGCACAUAUGCUAAAAUUGGAGCAAUACAGAGAAGAUUAGCGUGGCUCCUGCACAAGGAUGACAUGCAAAUUUGUGAAGAGGCACAUUUAAAAAUUUAU